AAGCACAAAGUUUCCCAUUUGCGGACCAGUUCUUCUGAAGCACACAUUCCAGACCAAGAAACGACAUCCCUGACCUCAGGCACAGGGACUCCAGGAGCAGAGGCUGAGCAGCAGGAUACAGCUAGCGUGGAGCAGUCCUCCCAGAAGGAGUGUGGGCAACCUGCAGGGUAAGCUGAAGAAUUCGUCUUUUAAGACUAAGCUCUCAGUUUUGUCCACCUCAUUUAAAAAAUAGUUCUUCCAGGCCGGGCGCAGUGGCUCACGCCUGUAAUCCUAGUAGUCUGGGAGGCCGAGGCAGGUGGAUCACGAGGUUAGAUCGAGACCAU
rnacentral:lncRNA from 10 species